rnacentral:rRNA from 1 species
UACGUAGGGUGCGAGCGUUUGUCCGGAAUUAUUGGGCGUAAAGAGCUCGUAGGCGGCUUGUCACGUCGGGUGUGAAAGCCCGGGGCUUAACCCCGGGUCUGCAUUCGAUACGGGCUGGCUAGAGUGUGGUAGGGGGAGAUCGGAAUUCCUGGUGUAGCGGUGAAAUGCGCAGAUAUCAGGAGGAACACCGGUGGCGAAGGCGGAUCUCUGGGCCAUUACUGACGCUGAGGAGCGAAAGCGUGGGGAGCGAACAGG